UUUUGACUGUGCAAAGGUAGCAUAAUUAUUAGUUUUUUAAUUGAAAGCUUGUAUGAAGGGUUGGACGAGAUAAAAUCUGUCUUUAUUUAAAUUAUUAUAGAAUUUAACUUUUAAGUCAAAAGGCUUAAAUGUAUGUAAAAGACGAGAAGACCCUAUAGAUCUUUAUUUAACUAAUAUUUUGAUAAUUUAGGAUUAUUUUAGUUUAAAGUUUUAGUUAAAUUUUAUUGGGGUAAUAUAAAGAUUAAAUAAAUUCUUUUUAUUUAUUACAUUGAUUUAUGAAUAUAUGAUCCGAUAUUAUUGAUUAUAAGAUUAAGUUACCUUAGGGAUAACAGCGUAAUUUUUUUGGAGAGCUCAUAUCGAUAAAAAAGUUUGCGACCUCGAUGUUGGAUUAAAAAUUAGCUUGGGUGUAGAAGCUCAAGAUUUUGGUCUGUUCGACCAUUAAAUUUUUACAUGAUCUGAGUUCAGACCGGCGUAAGCCAGGUCGGUUUCUAUCUUUACUUAUCUAAAAUAUUUUAGUACGAAAGGACCAAAUAUUUAAUAUAAUUAUAUUUAUUUUUUGAAUAAUAUU
rnacentral:rRNA from 1 species